UUCAAGUUUUAUUCUAGCUUAAAAUAUUAAUUAAUUAAUUAUUUUACAUGUAAUUUUAUAAGUAAUUAAAACAUCUGUUCUAAAAGAACAAUAUAUAUAUUAUUUGCAGUAUAUAAUAUUAUUAUACUUAAUAAUUUUUAGAAAUAGUAAUUCAAACUAGGAAAGACAAAUUUUGUGCCAGCAGUCGCGGUUAUACAAGAUUUUCAAUUUAAUAUAUACAAGUAUUCAGUUAAUUGUUAUUUUUUUAUAAUUUUAUGAAUUUUGGUGAAAUAAUAUUUGUUAUAAAUAUAAAUUUUAUAUGUCUGAUAAACUAUUAAUAUAAACUAGGAUUAGAUACCCUAUUAUUCAAAGGUGUAAAUUAAGUUAACUUGAUUAUUAAUAGAUAUAAUCUUUAAAUUCAAAGAAUUUGGCGGUAAUUUACCUUAUCAGAGGAACCUGUUUUAUAAUUGAUAAUCCACGAUAGAUCAUACUUCAUUAUGACUUGUAUACCGCUGUCAAGAAUGUUCUUUUAGGAAAUUUUCUGUAUCUUUAAUAAACUUAAUGUCAGGUCAAGGUGCAGUUACAAUUAUGAAAGCAAAAAUGGGUUACAUUUUAUUAUAUAAUUGAAUAUAUUCUAUUAUAUUUAGAUUAUUGAAAUUGAAUUUGAAAAUAAAUUAAUUAAAUUUAAUUAAUUGAAAUAAGCUCUAUAUUAUGCACAUAUCGCCCGUCACUCUCAUUUUAAGAUGAGAUAAGUCGUAACAAAGUAGCUGUACCGGAAGGUGUAGCUAGAAUGA
rnacentral:ncRNA from 1 species